UAAGUAGUAUCCAUUAAAGGGUUG
ensembl:ncRNA